rnacentral:lncRNA from 1 species
UCUCGUCUCUCAAAUUCUCUCAAACUCACCUACACCCUGGCCUCCUACUACCCCUCUUUAACUACCACUCCACUGGAAUCCAUGGCCUACUCACUCCCCCUCCAUCAGUAAAUCAUGAUUGUUCGAAGCUUCCAGACCGGACCUCGAUGGAUCUCCUUCAAAUCCUUCUCAGAUCUGUAGAUCUAUGGCUUCUCUGGCCAUUACCCCGGCAUAUUCAAGCACUAUGAGCCUUUUCGACUCAGGAUCUGACUUUUCUCAAG